GAAAGGUCUGUGCUUAGCACACUGACGAGUUCCUGAAAUGGAACGAAACCUUUU
rnacentral:hammerhead_ribozyme from 16 species